UUAAAUUGAAGAGUUUGAUCAUGGCUCAGAUUGAACGCUGGCGGCAGGCCUAACACAUGCAAGUCGAGCGGUAGCACAGAGAGCUUGCUCUCGGGUGACGAGCGGCGGACGGGUGAGUAAUGUCUGGGAAACUGCCUGAUGGAGGGGGAUAACUACUGGAAACGGUAGCUAAUACCGCAUAACGUCGCAAGACCAAAGUGGGGGACCUUCGGGCCUCAUGCCAUCAGAUGUGCCAGAUGGGAUUAGCUAGUAGGUGGGGUAACGGCUCACCUAGGCGACGAUCCCUAGCUGGUCUGAGAGGAUGACCAGCCACACUGGAACUGAGACACGGUCCAGACUCCUACGGGAGGCAGCAGUGGGGAAUAUUGCACAAUGGGCGCAAGCCUGAUGCAGCCAUGCCGCGUGUGUGAAGAAGGCCUUCGGGUUGUAAAGCACUUUCAGCGGGGAGGAAGGCGUUAAGGUUAAUAACCUCAUCGAUUGACGUUACCCGCAGAAGAAGCACCGGCUAACUCCGUGCCAGCAGCCGCGGUAAUACGGAGGGUGCAAGCGUUAAUCGGAAUUACUGGGCGUAAAGCGCACGCAGGCGGUCUGUCAAGUCGGAUGUGAAAUCCCCGGGCUCAACCUGGGAACUGCAUUCGAAACUGGCAGGCUAGAGUCUUGUAGAGGGGGUAGAAUUCC
rnacentral:rRNA from 1 species